AACGAUUGUAGACAUACACAGAAGUGGCUGGAAUAGGAUAAUGCACCCCGUGGGCCGUCGCCAGCUUCUGCCGUCAUCAACACAUGACGGUCUUGUUUUACUCAUUUCCCCCACCUUCUCCCUCGGCAAAUUGGGAACAAUCGUCAGAUUAUUGAUUUCAUUUAUGAAUAUUUCAAUCCAUAUCUAAAAAAUAAGGACCCCCAAAAAAGGAAAUACAUCGUCACACCUAAAAAUAAUUAACAGUAUAAUCCCUGAAUAUCAAAUAUGUAGUCAGCAUUCAAACUGCCUUUUGUCUCCGAACUGUCAAUAGAUUUUUAUUUUAAAUUUAAAAAUUUAUUUGAAUCAAGGGCCAGAGAAAGUCUAGGCGUGGCAACUGGUUGAUAAGACUUUUAUAGUCUUUUAAGUCUGUUUUAAUCUUUUCUCCUUGAUAUUUAUUUAAUGAUGUCACGUUGUUUAUUCUACAGAAUUUUCCAGUCUGCAAUUUGUUGAAUGCAUCCCUGUGGUGCCGUUUGACAUGAUCCUCUGUCCUCUGUAUUUCCUGCCAAUUGGUAGUUGGACCUAGAGCCAGAUUCCCUUUCGAUGUUAUGUAUUUACUGCUUCCCAGGCCCUUAGGGGUCUAUGCAGAUAGUAAUGGGGGAUGUGAAUCACUUGUCAGUAUUUUAAAGUACUUCAUAUUUUCAGCUACUAAUAUAAGCUAACAACAUCGUCCAUUUUCUUUGAUUUUGCCUAGAAUCACAUCAUCUCAUUGAGAUAAACCAGAUAUUUCAUGCAGUCUUCAGCCUGGCAAACAGCUAUUACGGACAAUGUGGAAGGAAGGUGGUGGAAAAUGAACUUUACAGAUUGCCCUCAGUCAUUAGCGAAAGUCACAAAGUCCAUAGAAGGCAGGACGUCAGUGGACAGGUGGUCCAGGUCGCCUGUGGUCAGGACCAUAGUCUGUUCCUAACGGAUAAAGGAGAAGUCUAUUCUGGUGGAUGGGGCGCAGCUGGGCAAACAGAAGGACAUGUUUUUGUCUGAGGCUACGGAAUUCUUGGCAAAGGACCAAACCUAGUGGAAACUGCUCUUCCGGAAGUGAUUCCACCCACUCUCUUCAGCUUGAUGGAGUUCAACCCAGAAGUCCAGGUUUCCCGCAUUUGCUGUGGACUCAGCCGCGUUGCUCCUCUUACCAGUAAGUGGCCAAGCCCGUGUGGCCCCAGUGACGGGCCGAGCUGCAUUCUCUUAGGUUCACCCCAAGCCGUGGGCAGCUUUCAGUGUCCAUCCAUCCAGUGGAGGGGCGCCCCACGUGGAUAAUUACAGAGAGCAGCUCAUCCAGACGUUGUUUGGCUUGAAGUUGUAUAAUGUGUGUCUUUUUUCAUCCUGGAGUUUUGUUUUUGGUUCCUUUGGUUUGUGGUUGGGCUCAUGUGAA